rnacentral:rRNA from 1 species
UGCAAGUCGAGCGGACAGAUGGGAGCUUGCUCCCUGAUGUUAGCGGCGGACGGGUGAGUAACACGUGGGUAACCUGCCUGUAAGACUGGGAUAACUCCGGGAAACCGGGGCUAAUACCGGAUGCUUGUUUGAACCGCAUGGUUCAAACAUAAAAGGUGGCUUCGGCUACCACUUACAGAUGGACCCGCGGCGCAUUAGCUAGUUGGUGAGGUAAUGGCUCACCAAGGCAACGAUGCGUAGCCGACCUGAGAGGGUGAUCGGCCACACUGGGACUGAGACACGGCCCAGACUCCUACGGGAGGCAGCAGUAGGGAAUCUUCCGCAAUGGACGAAAGUCUGACGGAGCAACGCCGCGUGAGUGAUGAAGGUUUUCGGAUCGUAAAGCUCUGUUGUUAGGGAAGAACAAGUACCGUUCGAAUAGGGCGGUACCUUGACGGUACCUAACCAGAAAGCCACGGCUAACUACGUGCCAGCAGCCGCGGUAAUACGUAGGUGGCAAGCGUUGUCCGGAAUUAUUGGGCGUAAAGGGCUCGCAGGCGGUUUCUUAAGUCUGAUGUGAAAGCCCCCGGCUCAACCGGGGAGGGUCAUUGGAAACUGGGGAACUUGAGUGCAGAAGAGGAGAGUGGAAUUCCACGUGUAGCGGUGAAAUGCGUAAAGAUGUGGAGGAACACCA